AUUAAAUUUCAGCCAGGACAUGGUACUUCAGAAACCCGGUGGCAAGACGCAUGUGUGCUAUGGGCUCACGAAUACUGGUAGAGCUUGCACGCCAAACAACAUAGUCCUUGCUGCGGACACGGAUAAAGAGUAUACAGGUGUGCUCAGCGCUGCUCACGAAGUAGGACACUUGUUAGGUUCACAUCAUGAUGGUGAGGGAACAUCGGUAGGAUGUCCCUCCAGUGCCGGAUACCUAAUGAGCCCAAGUGCCGUGGGUGAAGUCCGCCCGCAGUUUUCAAACUGUAGCA
rnacentral:lncRNA from 1 species